rnacentral:rRNA from 1 species
AUUUGUCUGGUUAAUUCCGAUAACGAACGAGACCUUAACCUGCUAACUAGAUUCAUUAGUACUACUAUUGCAAUCUUCUUAGAGGGACUAUGUAAAACAAAUACAUGGAAGUUUGAGGCAAUAACAGGUCAGUGAUGCCCUUAUAUGUCCUGGGCUGCACGCGUGCUACACUGAUGCAUACAACAAGUGCCUAACCAGACAUGGUAUGGCAAUCUCGAAUAUGCAUCGUGAUGGGGAUAGAUCUUUGCAAUUAUAGAUCUUGAACGAGGAAUUCCUAGUAAGUGCAAGUCAUCAUCUUGCAUUGAUUAUGUCCCUGCCCUUUGUACACACCGUCCGUCGCUCCUACCGAUACCGGGUGAUCCGGUGAACCUUUUGGACUCUUUACUGGGAAAGAUCAGUAAACCAUAUCACCUAGAGGAAGGAGAAGUCGUAACAAGGUUUCCGUAGGUGAACCUGCRGAAGGAUCA